GGCGGGCUCAGAGCCGGGCUGGGCUGGGCUGGGCAGCGGCCAGAGGCACUCGGCUGGCUUUGACCAUUU
rnacentral:miRNA from 12 species